GUUCCUCGGAGAAGACCUCCGCCAGUCUUUGAAACGACGGCAAAGCGAUCGAUGCUGAAUUGCAUUAGCCCACCCUAUCUAUCUCCAUGCAUGUAAGCGGUUUCAGUCGGCUGAAGUCUAAAUGUGACAUUGUAUGAGCAGUGACUGUACAUCAGGCUCACGCAUGCGCUUUUGGAAACCCGGAGCCGCAGGAGAUUGAGCUGCACUCCGGAGGGAGGGGAACGGAAGGGACGCAGCGAUGAGUGCCAAAGUCGACAUGGACGUUCCAACCAAAGAGCCGGACCGUACGCCACCAGUCUCCUCUUCCUCCUCCUCUUCCUCCACCACCACCUCCUCCUCGAACACCUCCUCCUCCUCUUCCUCCUCCACCACCUCCUCCUCCUCCUCCUCUUCCUCCUCCUCGCCCCCCACCGACACCAUCCUCGUGUGCAGCAAAGAGGGGACGUCCAAGGGCCCCCUUCUUCCUCCCCCACCACCUCCUCCAGCUCCUUCUCCGUUGACCCAGACGACCACCACGGCUCUGCUCCUUCCAGGUGAGGUGGGGGGGGCCUGGCCCUUAUGUGUUGGUGGCAGGCGGCCCGGGUUGGGGCUCCCACUCUGUGGUUCCUCCUCAGGAUGUUUGGGGAACUUUAGGGUACUCAACCGGAGGGGCGAGAGCCUAUUGGGUCACCUGGGAUUUGGGUACGGGACCAUAAUAUACAGGCUGGCUUCUUCUCUUUUAGCUCCUUCUUCAAGAUGAAUAAAUCGUUGCUGUGUGUAUCUAAAGGACUUCACCCGAUUGUUCUUUUCCCCACCAAGCCGUAGUCCUACCCGGUCACCAAAAGCUGGAGGUGACGUCCGCCACUGUAGUGGCAGAGCCCGGGAAAGUGGGCGGGGUUAUAGAGGCGACCACGCCCACAGCCCAGGUGGGCGGGGCCUGCAGCAUCGUCCACGUACUGGAGUGGAAGGAGGGAAUGACUCUUCUGCCCACCACUAACCUCAAAUUCUGUGUUGGCGAUGUGGGAACGCUGAGCGCGCUGAUCACCCCGGCGAUCGCCAGUAGCUCCCCCCAACCUGCCUCCGGGGCUUCUGGGAAGUCUGCCGCUGCAGAGGGA
ensembl:lncRNA